CACUACUAAGCUAUCUAUCGCUGCUAAUCUAUCGCUGCCAACCUAUCUAUCGCUGCCAAUUUAUCUACCACUGCCAAUCUAUCUAUCGCUGCUAAUCUAUCGCUGCUGUCAAUCUAUCUAUCGCUGCUAAUCUAUCUAUUGCUGCUAAUCUAUCGCUGCUAAUAUAUUGCUGCUGCCAAUCUAUCUAUCACUGCUAAUCUAUCACUGCUAAUCUAUCGCUGCUAAUCUAUCGCUGCCAACCUAUCUACCGCGGCGAAUCUAUCUAUUGCUGCCAACCAAUCUAUCUACCACUGCCAACCAACCUAUCUAUCACUGCCAAUCUAUCUAUCGCUGCCAAUCUAUCGCUGCUAAUCUAUCGCUGCCAAUCUAUCGCUGCCAACCUAUCUACUGCAGUGAAUCUAUCUAUCACUAUCAUUACUAGUUCAAAAUAGAACUAGAGCAUAAAUACACUAAACUUCUUUUGAUAGAUAAUGAUUUUUGGUAAUGCUCAUAGCAUUAUAUCAUCUAUAUAGGGUAAAUCAUGGUCCCAUUUGGUCCCAUUUUGUAAAAUGGGAUCAAAUGGAAUCAGAAUCAGUAAUUUAUAAGAAGAACAUGACCUGAGACUAGAUUUAUAAUAUAAACAGUGUAAAGUGACUAAUUUAAUAAACACUAUAUAGAAUC
rnacentral:sRNA from 1 species